CCCAGCAGUAGUCAGCUGUCCGGUGCUUGCCAAUGCCUGUGAUAGUGUUACAUUGCUGGGAGAUCAAGACACUGCCAUACACUGCUUUCAGGCACUGUUGCUGUUCUUGUAACAUGUACCGCAGGCAAUAGGCAUGUCAUGCUUCCUUAACAAUGUGCCAAAUGCCUGAUUUGGCUUUUCUGGUGCUAUUCUGGAAGCACACAGG